rnacentral:rRNA from 1 species
CCUACGGGAGGCAGCAGUGGGGAAUAUUGGACAAUGGGCGAAAGCCUGAUCCAGCAAUGCCGCGUGUGUGAAGAAGGCCUUCGGGUUGUAAAGCACUUUAAGUUGGGAAGAAAAAGCUCUGGCUAAUAUCUAGAGCCUUGACGGUACCAACAGAAUAAGCACCGGCUAACUCUGUGCCAGCAGCCGCGGUAAUACAGAGGGUGCUAGCGUUAAUCGGAUUUACUGGGCGUAAAGCGUGCGUAGGCGGUUUGAUAAGUCGAUUGUGAAAGCCCCGGGCUUAACCUGGGAAUUGCAGUUGAUACUGUCAGACUAGAAAACGGUAGAGGGAGGCGGAACUCCAGGUGUAGCGGUGAAAUGCGUAGAUAUCUGGAAGAACACCGAUGGCGAAGGCAACCUCCUGGGCCUGUUUUGACGCUGAGGCACGAAAGCGUGGGUAGCAAACAGGAUUAGAUACCCUGGUAGUCCACGCCGUAAACGAUGAGAACUUGACGUUGGUUUGCUUAGCAAAUCGGUGUCGUAGCUAACGCGAUAAGUUCUCCGCCUGGGGAUACGGCCGCAGGUUGAAACUCAAAUGAAUUGAGG